CUUUCCGCUCGGCUGUUUUCCUGCGCGGGAGCCGCAGGGCCGUAGGCAGCCAUGGCGCCCAGCCGGAAUGGCAUGGUCUUGAAGCCCCACUUCCACAAGGACUGGCAGCGGCGCGUGGCCACGUGGUUCAACCAGCCGGCCCGGAAGAUCCGCAGGUGAGCCCUGCGCUCGGGGCUGCCCCUGGGGCUCGUGCCCGCGGCUGCGCCUUGGUUUGCGGGUGGCCGAUGCCAGGGCGGGGGGCGCUGUCUGCGACCGUCGCGGAGAGCUGGCCUGGCGGCCUUAGGCAAGGGUGACCGCCGCUGCGCUUCUCUCCACCAGACGUAAGGCCCGGCAAGCCAAGGCGCGCCGCAUCGCCCCGCGCCCCGCGUCGGGGCCCAUCCGGCCCAUCGUGCGCUGCCCCACGGUUCGGUACCACACGAAGGUGCGCGCCGGCCGCGGCUUCAGCCUGGAGGAGCUCAGGGUGAGUACUGGCAGCGCUGCGGUGUCAGGAAGGCCCCGAAGUCCCCUCUGUUGGCCUCAGUCGCGUGAUGACAUUCUCCGGAAUCGCUGUACGGCCUUGAUGAAAGCGCAUUUGAACCCUUUUCCAUCUGAUUGCUGAGGCUUUUCAUCCAGGCC
rnacentral:sRNA from 1 species